UCUUCAGUUAACAUGCCUUUUAUUCAAUCCCCUCUCAUUUGCUGACCAAUCCUCCUUUUUUAAAUUUCUUUGGGUACCUAGCAGGUGUAUUUAUUUCUGGGGUACAAGAGAUGUUUUGAUGUAGGCAUGCAGUGUGAAAUAAUUAUAUCAUGGAGAAUCAUAUCAUGGAGAAUCAUAUCAUGGAAAUGGAGGGGUGAUCAUCAUCACCCCUCAACCAUUUAUCCUUUGUUACAAUCCAAUUACAUUCUUUUAUUUUUAAAUGUACAAUUAUUAUUGACUAUAGUCACCCCGUUGUGCUAUCAAAUAGAUCCUUUUUUUUGUACCCCAAACACAACGAAAUUACCAAAGCCAAAGGUAUUCUAGGUACAGGAUUUCAAGUGACUGACUUUUCAUGUGAUGAUGGACUUUAUUUCUCCCCUCUACUUCUGUCCAAGGUAAGGACAGCAAAAAUUGUCUUUCCCCAUUAUCAAUGGAAUAAUGUAGUUCAGUCUGCAACAAAGAGAAACAUGAAAAUAUCAUAGAUAGGAUAAUGUUUUACACACAUGCCAGCCUGCCCUUCAACUGGCUUUCAAUUUUCAGUAUCUUCUAAUCAUGGAAAUGCUAACACAAUUAUUAACUUUAAACAAAUUUUUAUUACACAAAGGUUGUC
rnacentral:lncRNA from 10 species